UCUAUUCUUGUAGCCUGUACGUAUCAUAGACAGUAGCAGUAAUGAAAGUACGGAUUGCCCACUGCAUCAACCGAACUACUGUUUAGCAGUCGUGGAAAAACGAUUGGCAAUUACCCCCACCCCCACCCCCAUCCUGUAUCACCACCAUCAUUAUCUAAAUUACACGCACUGCCUGUAGUAUACAUAUAUAUAAAUAUACAUUAUGUAUGUACGUAUGUACAUCCGUAUAUAUUAACUACAUAUUUACAAGCCCUUCCAGUUUGACGCUCCUUCUCAAUAUGUAAAUACACAUGCACACGCACGCGCACACACUCAUUCACAUAUGUAUUAAGUCCAUCAAACCUUCGCCUCAUUCACAACAUUAAAAGAGAAGAGGUGAAGCGAGGAAAUUGUACCGUGUGAUCUGCUUACAAUAUACAUCUAGACACAUGUGUUGCUUUUAAGAGAAAAGCUCAGUGGUUCUUUAUUACCAGCACUUAAUCAUGUUGAAUUCGGUAAUAGGACAAUACGAAAAACUGUGGUUGGCAGAUUUUUUCCACCGAUUCCCUCAUGUCAACUUUACCUGGCCAUGGGCUGAUUCUCAUUUUAGUUCAGUCAACAUUCCUUAUUUCCACACACUGCUGUUUUGGACUGGAGUAUUUGUCGGAUGGGCUGUUAUUAUCCAGCUGUUGAUGUUUUUAUACAUCUGUUGCAUUUGUUGCAAGAAGAAAAAGAAGAAGCAUCGGGAAGUAAAGUGUAUACGAUGUUUCAUGGCAAUUUUCAUAUUUGUUUGCGCGGGUUCUCUUGCUGUUGGUUUCUAUGGUAAUGAAGAGACAAACCGAGGAAUGACUAAAUUCAUAACCCACUUAAAAUCCACAACUGGUACAAUCCGUGGCUCCCUAUCUACAAUUGAUACAAUAGACCAGUUAUCAACCAGAAUCACACAUAAUGUAGCUGAAGUGAAAUAUAUCUUUCAUAGCUCAAUAAAGAACAAAACUGUAUCUCGUGAUGCAAUUGAGCUGAUUGAGAAGUUUGUCUACAACACAAAACAAAUGCGAGAUUAUUGCUCUUUCAUCAGGCAACAAACAGAACAUAAUCGACUGGAUACAAUAUCUGCUCUUACUACAUUAGUGGAACCCUACAGGUGGAUUGCUACUCUUUCGCUGUUCAGUGUUCAUGCUUUAAUAAGCCUCUUGCUGCUUAUUGGGAUGCUGACUUGUUCCCGUUGUUUGUUGAUAUUCUGCGUAUUGUUUGGGUGCCUGGCUCUGAUGUUAAUCUGGAUUGGUGGAGGGCUUUAUCUUGGAACUGCUGUGGAUUUUGGUGACCUUUGCGUCAACCCUGAUAAUUAUGUAAAGCAGCAAACCAGUGCAAACAUGGAAGCUAAAGUCCUUAAUGCUUAUUUGAAAUGCACUGAUCUUCGAGAACCAUUUGCAGAGAAAUACAAUGCUGCUCUCUCUGCUAUUGUCCGUGCCAACAGUACUUUAAGUGAGGCACUAUACAUGGCUUCACCCUACAACAUGGGUAUUAAGUUACGCAGCCUUGUUCGAAAGAUCCGCUUAGAAGUGACCGCAGCAGUUUCCAACGUUUCCCUCCUCAAUCAAAUUUCCGGCUGUUCUUUUAUCCACAACAAUUACAUCAAUGCACUUAAUGGAAUUUGUCAUCAAAGCCUGAUUGGUGUGGCUUUCAUGAGUCUUGUCUGUGGUAUUGUAGGAGUUGCACUGACCAUUAACAUCUGUUUGGCCACAAGGGCUUCAAUCUUAUUUGCAAAGAGUCUGGUAUACUAUCCUGUAGAUGACACCGAUCCAUUCUUGCCCAGGCCACCUCCCUACAGCUACGGCACCCUCCCAACGGCUCCGAAUGAUCCUUUCCAAGUGGACGUACGCAGAAGUUACUUGAGUGAGAGUGUUGCAGGUAGUGAGGAGACGGUACCACGUCGCCCUGGCCAGUAUACAGAGUCCCCACCACCAGCAUGCCAUACUACAGAUCAGCUUUUAGAAUUCAUCAUUUCUGCAAGACAUCCAGAUAGUUUGUUUCCAAACAGAAGGAGUCGAAAACUUUAGAAUCCUUUUACAUGGAGCUGAUCAGUAAGAAGACUAUAAAACUCUAAAAGUUUUGUAUCAUUGGAGCUGCAUCAAAGCCCUCAAAUACACAACGAUGCAGACCGAAAAGCACUGGGACCCUUUGCUGCCAGUUAUAUGUGAAGUUGUGCCGUCACCAUCACCACCACCACCACCACCAAUCUCAACAACACCACCACCAACUCCACCACCUCCGCCGCCACCAC
rnacentral:misc_RNA from 1 species